rnacentral:lncRNA from 1 species
UGGCUAAGGGUCUUGACCAGUGGGGCACUGAAGAAGCGAGCCACACCUCCAUCGUACGCCCUGCGAGGAGGAAAUUGCCACAGUCACCUCAACCUUCAGCAACCACCAACUUGAUCAAUCAGCAGCCAAUAACGUGAAGUCAUGACCAUUCACCAGCAAAAAGUUUAUGAUUCACCAAAAUAUUAGAUGAUCAUUAACAUUUUUAGCAAUAAUGUAUUUGUCAUUAAGGUGUUAGUGCAUUGGAAAAUCAUUUAAAGAAUGUAUCAGCUAAUUGAAGGCUUAUGUCUGAAGUUCCUGUAUCUGCCUACGAUCCAGACCCACCAAGGAGGACGACAGUGUUUUUCUUUUCUUCCCCUCCACGUUAUCUCAUUAUCUGUAGCAGAAAAGAAGACCAAGAUGUGGCUACACCCGAGCAGACCUUUUUCCAUGUAUAAAGACUGUCUCAAAGGAUCAUUUAAAUUUCACGAACUAUUUACAAGUUAAUAGUUUGAUUGUUCCUGGACCCAAUUAUUCUCCCUAUCAAUCAUUUAAAAUCAAUUUUAACAUUGUGGUAGUAGAAUUUUUUCCUUUAACUGAUAUUAUAUUAAAACAUUCCACAAUUGAACACGUAUUAACUCUUAAGUAUGUAUAGCCUCCCGUGACCAUUUGUGUAUGAAAUCCAUUCAAACCAUACAAUAUCACAAUCUAAAUCUUUUUACUUACAGUCAUGUUAUAAUACUCUGGAUUUAAGUCUUACUUUUUAUGGUUUACAUAUCAUACUCUGUAGAAUAGCUAAGCAUAUUAUUAGAAAUGAGACUUUUGUGCAAUUUUCACCCACAUUCGAUUUAUAGACAAACUGAUAUUCUUUUCACACAGCAAAAGAAUUCAGCCUGGCAUCUUUAGGAAAUGAAAAACUGGUUGCCAGAGGGAAGGAACCUAAAUUUUUUCAAUGUGGUUAUUAUAUAUAUUGUAGGCCAGGCCUUUUUCCCAAGUAAGGAGAAGGGGAGACUCAUAUAUAUAUAUUUUUAUUUUUAAUAAAAAUUUGACUUGGGAAAUUUAUGAAUUUAUUUUAGUGACUCAG